UCCCGCGUUUUCCACCAUUUUGUUUUUGCGGAUAGUUGGCGUCGGCGGGUUUUAUUAUAACAAAAUCCCAAUUAAGUGAAAUAUAAUUUGCAAUUAAGAUCAAUGUGAAUUUUGUGCCAUUAGCCGACACGCAUUAGAAUGGCCGAGCAUGUAGAGUAUCUGGAUGAUCCCGAUAAAUCGGAGAACGACACGAAAGUUUACAAAUCUCUUGUGCUGUCGGCACCACCGGUCCAUAUAGGAUUGCCCAGCAACGUAUCCUGUGCCUUGAUGGUCAACCACGGUCCAUUCGCCGAUCCGCGCAACUAUCAGUGCCUGGCCCACCUUCUGCAGCAUAUUAUUUUCAUGCGCAGAAAGCCGGAUCCCAAGGAGAACAUCAACGGCCAAUGCUCCUCUUCAAUCUUAAGCGGGGACACGAUGUACUCCUCUAAAGCAUCCGUUGAUGCUGCAGGAGUCCACUGAAUGUGGCCGCGCUCUCGAGGAGUCUGAGUUUCAGCUGAUGGCAAACAAAAAUGAACAGCGUCGCAACCAACCGUUUGCCGGACUUGCCACCCAAGGCUAUCCGCAUGCCUUUUUCAACUGGGGUAACAUGCAAUUGUAGAAUGACAAUGAUGGCCAUCGCCUCCAAAAUAUGUCCCUUGCAGUGCUGCUAUGUGCGACUUGUACGUUUCAUUGGUAAAGCUCCAUUUGGACAAGGAACUGCAACUCGACGAAAGUGCCAAACUCAAUAGCCACUUCAGGGUCAGCGACAAUGGUCUGCGUCUGUUUGUGAGCCGCUACAAUGAAAAGAUCUGUUUGUGGAGGCUAUUGCCUAAGGUAUGGUCGAUGUGGGUACCACCCUCAAUGAAGGUAUUGACCGCCUGCCCCAAUAACCAGCGCGACUACUACUCCACAAUUCUGAACAAUCCAUGGACCCUCAGCAGCGAAUUCUAGUCAGUAUUCUGUAGUGCUGGGACAAAGCCAAUGCCUGACGAUUGUCAAGUACAAGUCCCUCAAUAGGAUCACUCUGGAGGAUUUUAAGGCAUUUGCCCAGAAAAUACCGCAGGAGCUGUAGUUCAAGGCCCACAAGGUGGUCCAUUCGUUACUCGGCCCACUAAAAUGCGAUGCCAUUAGGGAUAUGCGGCUCGUGGAGAAAGGAAUCGUAAAGCUUUACGCGUGGAGGUCAUACUCGACUUGUUAAAUAUGGGCAUCGGGCAUCGUCAAAUUUUUUAGACCAGAAUCCAAAUGAAAAUGAGUUGGACAUUGUAUUUCUGCCAAAAAAAAUGGAGAGGGAGAUAUGCGGACCAUUGUCGAUAUUGCCGAUUUCAAAAGCGGUACCCCAAACGCAACGAGGGAGGAGCUGUGGGAGGAAACUAGCCGUACCUCAAGCUUCGAGGAUGCCCUGAGAAAUCUGUGCACCAUCGUAGAAUCUUGAUGUUCAUACACUCACGAGAAAGUCAGACAAGGGACACACACUCUCCAGAUAAGUUUUUAAGUUGAAUUGAAUACUAGUAUUACAAGUAAUAAUUUCCAUACAUAUAUCAUUAUUUUUAAAAUAUUUUUAUUUACUUAUUCAUUUUUCAAAUGACCAAGUCAAAAAAUUGAUGGAUUCCUAAGUUUAAUUGAAUAAGAAUAAUAUUAAAAGUACAUUGUAUACAGAAUUCAACAUCUUCAUAUAUGGAUACGAAUGCUGUUGCCAGGCUGUGGCUGGGACCGUUUAAGGUCGUAUUUCACUAGCAAUAAAAAACUAUGUACUAUAGCAACAAACCCAA